AAAAAAGCGAAAAUCUUAUAUACUCAUAAGUCAUGAGAUAUGCUACUUCUAUAUAUACAUUUUUAACAAAUAUACACUACUUGUGUUUCAUAUUUUUGAUUUUGACAUAUGUUCAAGAUGUGGGAGCUUGGAAAUGCCCUGAAGGCAUCGCCUAUCCGAGUCCUAUCUCAGGAAGAUGCUUUAAUUCCAGGAGCACAGAGUGUAAAAAACACUAUGAAG